rnacentral:rRNA from 2 species
UUGGAGAAUUUGAUCCUGGCUCAGGAUGAACGCCGGCGGUGUGCCUAAUACAUGCAAGUCGAACGCGUUGGCCCAAUUGAUUGACGGUGCUUGCACCUGAUUGAUUUUGGUCGCCAACGAGUGGCGGACGGGUGAGUAACACGUAGGUAACCUGCCCAGAAGCGGGGGACAACAUUUGGAAACAGAUGCUAAUACCGCAUAACAGCGUUGUUCGCAUGAACAACGCUUAAAAGAUGGCUUCUCGCUAUCACUUCUGGAUGGACCUGCGGUGCAUUAGCUUGUUGGUGGGGUAACGGCCUACCAAGGCGAUGAUGCAUAGCCGAGUUGAGAGACUGAUCGGCCACAAUGGGACUGAGACACGGCCCAUACUCCUACGGGAGGCAGCAGUAGGGAAUCUUCCACAAUGGGCGCAAGCCUGAUGGAGCAACACCGCGUGAGUGAAGAAGGGUUUCGGCUCGUAAAGCUCUGUUGUUAAAGAAGAACACGUAUGAGAGUAACUGUUCAUACGUUGACGGUAUUUAACCAGAAA